rnacentral:rRNA from 1 species
AGGAUAAACGCUGGCGGCGUGCCUAACACAUGCAAGUCGAACGUCUCUUCUUUCGGGAAGAGGAGUGGCGGACGGGUGAGGAACACGUGGGAACCUGCCCUUCAGUGAGGAAUACCGGCGAGAAAUCGCCGACAAGACCGCAUAGCCCUCUCUGGUGAGAGCCAGAGAAGGAAAGCCUCGCAAGAGGCGCUGGAGGAGGGGCCUGCGUCCGAUUAGCUAGUUGGUGGGGUAAGAGCCUACCAAGGCGUCGAUCGGUAGCUGGUCUGAGAGGACGAUCAGCCACACUGGGAUUGAGAACGGCCCAGACUCCUACGGGGGCAGCAGUGAGGAAUUUUCGGCAAUGGGGGAAACCCUGACCGAGCAACGCCGCGUGCAGGAAGACGGCCUUCGGGUUGUAAACUGCUUUUCUUUGGGUACGAGCAAGGACGGUACCAGAGGAAUCAGCCCGGCUCACUACGCGCCAGCAGCCGC